rnacentral:rRNA from 1 species
GGGUGCCUAAUACAUGCAAGUAGAACGCUGAAGAGAGGAUUUUGCUCUUCUUGGAUGAGUUGCGAACGGGUGAGUAACGCGUAGGUAACCUGCCUUGUAGCGGGGGAUAACUAUUGGAAACGAUAGCUAAUACCGCAUAACAAUGGAUGACACAUGUCAUUUAUUUGAAAGGGGCAAAUGCUCCACUACAAGAUGGACCUGCGUUGUAUUAGCUAGUAGGUGAGGUAACGGCUCACCUAGGCGACGAUACAUAGCCGACCUGAGAGGGUGAUCGGCCACACUGGGACUGAGACACGGCCCAGACUCCUACGGGAGGCAGCAGUAGGGAAUCUUCGGCAAUGGGGGCAACCCUGACCGAGCAACGCCGCGUGAGUGAAGAAGGUUUUCGGAUCGUAAAGCUCUGUUGUAAGUCAAGAACGAGUGUGAGAGUGGAAAGUUCACACUGUGACGGUAGCUUACCAGAAAGGGACGGCUAACUACGUGCCAGCAGCCGCGGUAAUACGUAGGUCCCGAGCGUUGUCCGGAUUUAUUGGGCGUAAAGCGAGCGCAGGCGGUUUGAUAAGUCUGAAGUUAAAGGCUGUGGCUCAACCAUAGUUCGCUUUGGAAACUGUCAAACUUGAGUGCAGAAGGGGAGAGUGGAAUUCCAUGUGUAGCGGUGAAAUGCGUAGAUAUAUGGAGGAACACCGGUGGCGAAAGCGGCUCUCUGGUCUGUAACUGACGCUGAGGCUCGAAAGCGUGGGGAGCGAACAGGAUUAGAUACCCUGGUAGUCCACGCCGUAAACGAUGAGUGCUAGGUGUUGGAUCCUUUCCGGGAUUCAGUGCCGCAGCUAACGCAUUAAGCACUCUGCCUGGGGAGUACGACCGCAAGGUUGAAACUCAAAGGAAUUGACGGGGGCCCGCACAAGCGGUGGAGCAUGUGGUUUAAUUCGAAGCAACGCGAAGAACCUUACCAGGUCUUGACAUCCCGAUGCUAUUUCUAGAGAUAGAAAGUUACUUCGGUACAUCGGUGACAGGUGGUGCAUGGUUGUCGUCAGCUCGUGUCGUGAGAUGUUGGGUUAAGUCCCGCAACGAGCGCAACCCCUAUUGUUAGUUGCCAUCAUUCAGUUGGGCACUCUAGCGAGACUGCCGGUAAUAAACCGGAGGAAGGUGGGGAUGACGUCAAAUCAUCAUGCCCCUUAUGACCUGGGCUACACACGUGCUACAAUGGUUGGUACAACGAGUUGCGAGUCGGUGACGGCAAGCUAAUCUCUUAAAGCCAAUCUCAGUUCGGAUUGUAGGCUGCAACUCGCCUACAUGAAGUCGGAAUCGCUAGUAAUCGCGGAUCAGCACGCCGCGGUGAAUACGUUCCCGGGCCUUGUACACACCGCCCGUCACACCACGAGAGUUUGUAACACCCGAAGUCGGUGAGGUAACCUUUUGGAGCCAGCCGCCUAAGGUGGGAUAGAUGAUUGGG